CCUCCAAACUGAGUCACAGUAGUGUUUCCUUGCUACUUGUUCUCUAGAGGAGCAUAGUCACCAGCUGAACGUCAAAGCACUCUAACCACCGCGCUGGCUUCUUUCCAUGCGUGUGCCCUUACUUCUCCCUCGCCGCGCCGUGCCCAGGAAUCACCACCACGGCACCACCGCCAAAUGAGGCUGGAGAAACUGAUCUAGGAGGGAGGCUAAGGCAGUGGCAGAGUGAUGCUAGGGAGUGGAGGAGUGUGCAGUGGGCCUGUGUCCUGGUGGUGCAGUGAGGUGCUGAAGUGCUCCCCCAAGGUGGCCCCUAACCCAGGUCCCGGCACCACCCCUGAACCAAUGGCUGAGUGUGAACAAUGCAGCCUCAAGUUUAACUUUCUUCGCCGACGGAGAGAAUGUGCAAGCUGUAGGAUGGUGUACUGUGGGUCCUGCCUGAAGCGAGGGAUAGGAGGGACGCGCUGGUGCCAUAAGUGCCUGGUGCUGACCCAGUGGCCCCUGGACCUAUCAGAAGUGACGGCUCUCAGGGUGAAGGACCUCAGACAGUUCCUGCACUCACGCCGCAUCAACACUGCCACUUGUACAGAAAAAUGUGAGCUGAUUGACCUGGUGACACGGCACAUCAGCAGUCAGCACCAGACCACGUCCUCUCGGCGUCCCCCACCAACCGCACAGCACUCCACCUCCCACGCACCCAACAGCCACGGAAGACACAGGGCCGCCCCUCGCAUACCUGUUGUUUCUGAGGAUGACGGGAUUAGGGUGCGGGCAAGCAGCAACAUUUCCAUGGGCAGCAUUCGAGUGCGCCCGAUGGAUGGCAUCAGAGUACAGGGCAGCCACCAACCCUCCACUAAUGCCACAAGUUCUGACCCAGACAGUGGCAUCAGGGUGUUUGCCUCAGGCCAGGGCAGGAACUCCCAGGACAACUCUGACAGUGCCUCCCCAACCUCCCCGAGCAGUGAUGGCGGAUGUCCUGAGAGGGAGGAGUGUUCCCACUGCCCCGGUGACGACUGGACUGCCUCCUGCUGCAGUCUGGACUCGUGUCACAAUGGAACACCUGGCCAGCCCCACCACUGCCACCACCACCAUCACCACACGGAGACUUCCAGCCCCAACAGUGAGGACUGGGUGUUCCUGCCAGAGAUGAGCACCCCAUCAGCUCCCCAGGAUGAUGGAAGGAAUGAGGGAAGGAUGAAUGUUUCCCCUACACUCCCUCCUACACCACAGGCUGUAGGAAGUAGUGGUGCACAGGAAGAGCCCUCAGCUCCACCCCUCCCACAACCUGAGCAGGAGGAGGAGCAACCAUCUUUUCCAGCCCCUGCUGUAUCCUCAUCCUCCUCUUCAGCGUCAUCGUCAGCCCCCACCUCUGCCGUGUCUUCUCCAGAGCCCAACAAAGGGGUAACCGGUGGCUCUGUGAACCUGGGGGACCUGAAAUCUGAGGAGGAGAUCCACCAGUUGAGUGUGAGGCAGUGCAAGGAGCUUCUCGCCCUGAACAGAGUGAACUACUCUGGGGUGCGGGAGAAGUCUGAGCUGCUCAACAAAAUCAAGAUCCUGUGGGAAGACUAUCGCACCUCUCGCAAAGAAUUUGAGAAAUUGCCUGAGGAGAUGAUAUGCAAGAUCUGCAUGGAUCAUGCCAUUGACUGCGUCCUGCUGGAGUGUGGGCACAUGGUGUCGUGCACCCAGUGUGGCAAGCAGAUGUCCGAGUGCCCCCUCUGCCGGCAGUAUGUGGUGAGGGUGGUGCGCACCUUCCGGGCCUGAGCUGGGAUGACACCCGUCCCAGGGUAGGAGGGUACAUGGAGGCCUUAGUCUUUUUAUAAGCAGAAUUUUAUAUGAUUUAGUAUAUUCUGUGGUGGAAAUCUGUCUUUUGUAUCUCAACGCUGGAGCACGUAAGUCUUGUGUGAGCUGAGAUGUGCAUGUUGGAUCCACACUGCUUCUUUUGGUGUUCCCAUGAGGGUGGGGAGCUGCCCUCCCCAGCCUUGUGUGUCCUUGGUGGACAUGCUAUCAUCACAGCUUACUUUUGAAAGUUUGGGGUGUACUGUAUUUGCCAACAUAUAAGACAUUUUCAAGAAAACGUUUUACAAAUUAACCAGUACCUAAUGUUACUAUAGUUAUGAUGCUGAAAUACUUACUUGGAAAAAAAGAAAAAGCCUUUGUCAGACAGAGCAUAUGUCUUAUUCAGAGAUGUGUCUUAUAAGCUUGUAGGAACAGUAGAUCCCUUACUGAUGACUUCUAUUCUUGUGCCCCAUGCUUUUCUCUUGGAAGUUUUGGCAUGAACAGUAUCAAUGGAAUAUGCUGUUGAUCAGGGAUGCUUUCCUAGUGACUGUAAUGAAGCCAGAUGAAGAGAACUAGAACCUGUGGGAUGUGAAGCUGUUGAGGCAAGCGUGACCCAGCAGUGAGGGUGAGGUGUUUGUGCCACAGCUUGUGUCUGGAGAACAGAUGAAGUGUGUGCAUUCAGCUGUCCCAAGAGGUGGUGGUGUCCAUGGCCAUGGCCAGCAAAGUCUUUCAUAUCAAUACAUGUUUGUAGAACCUUUUCAUUAUUUAGAGUGUGUAUUUGUUUCUUAUGAGGCUCAUAGAUCCAUGGCAGUUUUUCUGUUAUGCUUCAUUGGUCUGUUUCUCAGUAGUAUACUUAUUUUUAUAUUUUUUCUUUGCUAGUACUUUUUUUUUUUUUUUUUUUUUCUUCUUCUUCUUCUUCUUCUUCUUCUUCUUCUUCUUCUUCUUCUUCUUCUUCUUCUUCUUCUUCUUCUUCUUCUUCUUCUUCUUCUUCUUCUUCUUCUUCUUCUUCUUCUUCUUCUUCUUCUUCUUCUUCUUCUUCUUCUUCUUCUUCUCACUGUCUUUAUAAAAGAUACAGCUGCCCAAGUCAUUAUCUUUACAAACACUUGAUUGGAAACCCUUCAGAAGCAGCAGCCCUGUAAUGACUCUCUUUGUAUUGAUUAUUUUUAUCAAAUUAUGUCAUUCCCUUGUAUUGAAAAUAACCUUAUGUAGUAUGUUAUUUCAGUACAUCAGAAUGGUAGGUUCACAAGGGCAUAGAUGCUGCAGAUCUGUAUGGUUACUCAUGUUUCUCAUCUUUGUGUGUACAUCAAGCUCAGACACAUCAUGACUUGCAGUCCUUCACAUCCUUCACUCAUGGGACACCUGUCUUGAGAGUAGCUAUCUUUGAGAGACACCUGCUGCUCUCAUCAGUAGCCAUGGCAGGGGAUUUCUCUAAUGACAGUGUUGCGUAGUGUCACAAGUGGCAGCUUAGGUGAGUGUUGCCUUGCUGAUUCAUUGCUUAUUGAUUUAGAACUUUUCCAUUUGUCAUUUUCAUGUUUUAGUCUGACACAAAAAAAAAACUAGUCAAGUAAUGUCAAAAUACUUCUUUUUUGUGUGUUUUGCUAUUCUUGUUCAUAUUUUUGUCAAUAGUGAUAAUUAUUUUGUUUCAUUUUUCUCUGCUAGUAACCAAAGCUUCACUAUUUUUGUUACUCAGAAACAUAUUACCUUGCAUUUAGUGUAUGGGGAUGAACUCUUAAUUUUGUGAGAAAUUUGCUCCUGUCUUUUUUCUAAGGAGUGAGGAUGCCAUUAGUGUUAGUCAGCAGUGGCUGUUGAAUGGUGUCCUCUGUGUAGACGUCUCCUUGGAUCAUGUUCUUUUAUCCAUCCAUGUUGUAUCAGUAUUAGGCACAUGCACAGAAGGGGACCACAUCCUCCACUGAGGUGCGAGUGGUGGCUGGUUGCCAUUGUGCUGCUGUUGUCCGCCAGAUACUUGUCCUUUGAUGCCAGUCCUUCAGGGUUGUUUCCUUCUACACAGUGACUCCAGAUCCUGUUGUUUUUACACUUGUAUGUAUAAUGAAUGUUACCUGAAGAAUGAUAUGAAUACCUCUAUGUUAAUUAUCAAGCCUAUACAAGUAAUGAAAGAUAGUCUGGAAGGCAUUACCACUUCAGGGGCAUGGCAUUGAGUCUGUGAAGUCUGACAGCACAGUUUCGUGGUGGAUGUUGUUGAUUUACCUUAAUUAGACUUAAAAGCAGAUAUACAGAAUACAGUGCCUAUUUGUGUGUAUAAUUUGAGUACUAAACCAUUGGGGGGCACAAUGUUAAAUAUCUAAGCUUUUAGAAAAUACACUAUGUAAUCCUGUAGUCCAGAAUUCUUAGAUUUUAUUUUUGUGGAACUUAUUGAUUUGAUUUAAGGUGUAACUACAAUUUGGAGUUGUAAUAUAAAGAAGUAUUACUUUGUCCAUAAUGUGUUAUCUUCUGCAGGGUGAAGAGCCUCUGUUUUUCUCAAGUUGUAAACCAUCAGAAUGGGAGCAGGCUAGGAUGAGAAACCAAGCUCUGUGUAUGGAUUUUAUUUUUAUUUAAUUCAGAUGUCAUACCAGUCUUGUUUUGAUGGUGUCAAGAGACUAAGAGAAAUCAAGUGUACCAGAUAUUUUAGGUGUAUUUUAGCCCUCCACUGUGUGUGUGUGUGUGUGUGUGUGUGUGUGUGUGUGUGUGUGUGUGUGUGUGUGUGUGUGUGUGUGUGUGUGUGUGUGUG
rnacentral:misc_RNA from 1 species